rnacentral:rRNA from 1 species
AGGUUCUUAAAAACAGGGCUAUUACAGAAUCCCAUCAGAACUCCGCAGCUAAGCAUGCUUGGGCAAGAGUAGUACUAGGAUGGGUGACCUCCUAGGAAGUCCUCGUGUUGCACCCC